GGUUAUUCAUGGAUUUUUCCACGUGAUCCAAAAAUUGCGUGAGGUUAAGUAGAAUUGCGUAGCCUGCAAAAGUGAUCGCGGGCUUCUUAGCUACAGUUUGAGAAUGGAUGCUAGUGUUAGAAAAGAGAAGAUUGAUGGAGUAAUAACGACAUCAGGCAUUCAGCUAGGAUAUAGUCAUCUAAGACACCAGCAGAGAUUAGCUGUGUUUCAGUUUUACGUGAUGAGAACUGGCAGCCGAAAGUCAGUGUGUUAUUAGUUGCCUAAAGCUUUUAAUAACCUGUACAAUACAAGACAGAUAAUGGCAGAGGGCAGCAGUUGAAUUGAGAGUAGUCAGACUUGUUCAAGCUGUCUUAAAUCGCUGCCACUCCUCGGUUUAAAAGAAGAACUGCCGAGAUUUCUACAUUCAUCAGCUUUUCCAUGCUAAUCCACAAGUUGUGACACAACAGACACUGUGGUACAAGGAUCUAUAGUAUCAAAACGCUGGCUAGAUAGAUCUGUGUACUUGUCUUUAGCUUAGACCAUAGAUAGUGUAGUAAGAGGGAUUGGAAACGGACCGCGAUUGUCGGCCAGUCCAGGCUGCGCAGGAAGUUAAUUCACUGCACCGGAAGCUAAUAAUAGUUUCUUCACAUCACCUUGGGAUGGCAGCACAGAUUACAGAGCAGACAGACAGCACAUGAGACCUUGAUAAGAGCUAGAGCUAAAGCUAAGAGCAGUGAUGAGCAUCGAAGAGAAACACUCUACUGAGAUCGAGAGAAGCCACUAAGCCUCUGUUUGUGAAGACGAAGGAUUCAAGAUAUUUAGCAGUGCCAGCAUCAUGUAACUGCACUGACUUUGAGCAACAAAGUUGUAGCUAUGAAUGGAUGAUUUACAAGGGAAAUACAAUUUAAUAGCUAUCACUUUAGCGUAUUGUGUAUUCACACUCUUAUACUCUUAGUGUAUAUAGUUCAUUCGAUUCAUAAUUAUAAUUAUGGUUGUUUGAUCACACGUAAAAAAAAUAA